AUGACUCAGGCCUUUCCGAGGGCUCGCCUGGGGAGAAGCCCUGAACAUAGGGGUGCGGGCCUUGAACUGUCCCUUUUUCUGACCUUAGCAACACCGAAAGUGUGGAUAAGAUACAUACCCUACCGUUCUCCAGAAAACUACAUUUCCCAGGUUCCCUGCACAUUGGCUUCCUGUUAGGAUCAUCCAAUGGGAGGCACUGGAGGAAGACUGGAGGGAAGGAAGGGUGAAGCCAGACUUGCAACUUCACAAGAGCACCUACAUGUCUGAAAUUUUCACAGCUGCAUCCCCAGGACUUAGAACAAUGUUUGGCACAUAGUAGAUGCCCAAGAAAUUGUUGCUGACUGACUAAAUGAGUUUACAGCUGAGGCCUUCCAAAGAUAUAUCUACAUCCCCGAUCUCCAACCCCUAUGGCCAUCUGCUUCUUGGAUAUCUCCAAGAAGUUGUAUGUUUCACACAACUAAUAGCACAUGACACCCACCAGAAUAACCUCAAUCAGAAAGGCAGCAACAAGUAUUGGUGAUGAUGUGGAGAAACCUGAACCCAUUGCUAGUGAGAAUAUAAAAUGUUGCAACCAUUUUGAGGAACAAGUUAGCUGUUUCUUUAAAAGUUAAGCAGAAAUACAAUAAUUCCAUCUACCCAAGAGAAAUAAAGCAUAUGUCCAUGGAAAGCCUUAUAUAUGAAUAUUCAUAGCAGCAUUUUUCACAACAAAAGAAACAAUCCAAAUCCCCCUCAACUGGUGAAUG